CACUCCUACGGGAGGCAGCAGUGGGGAAUAUUGGACAAUGGGCGCAAGCCUGAUCCAGCCAUGCCGCGUGAGUGAUGAAGGCCCUAGGGUUGUAAAGCUCUUUCACCGGUGAAGAUAAUGACGGUAACCGGAGAAGAAGCCCCGGCUAACUUCGUGCCAGCAGCCGCGGUAAUACGAAGGGGGCUAGCGUUGUUCGGAUUUACUGGGCGUAAAGCGCACGUAGGCGGACUAUUAAGUCAGGGGUGAAAUCCCGGGGCUCAACCCCGGAACUGCCUUUGAUACUGGUAGUCUUGAGUUCGAGAGAGGUGAGUGGAAUUCCGAGUGUAGAGGUGAAAUUCGUAGAUAUUCGGAGGAACACCAGUGGCGAAGGCGGCUCACUGGCUCGAUACUGACGCUGAGGUGCGAAAGCGUGGGGAGCAAACAGGAUUAGAUACCCGGGUAGUCCCA
rnacentral:rRNA from 1 species